rnacentral:rRNA from 1 species
AUUGAACGCUGGCGGCAGGCCUCACACAUGCAAGUCGAACGGCAGCACAGAAGAGCUUGCUCUUUGGGUGGCGAGUGGCGGACGGGUGAGUAAUGUCUGGGAAACUGCCCGAUGGAGGGGGAUAACUACUGGAAACGGUAGCUAAUACCGCAUAACGUCGCAAGACCAAAGUGGGGGACCUUCGGGACUCACACCAUCGGAUGUGCCCAGAUGGGAUUAGCUAGUAGGUGGGGUAAUGGCUCACCUAGGCGACGAUCCCUAGCUGGUCUGAGAGGAUGACCAGCCACACUGGAACUGAGACACGGUCCAGACUCCUACGGGAGGCAGCAGUGGGGAAUAUUGCACAAUGGGCGCAAGCCUGAUGCAGCCAUGCCGCGUGUAUGAAGAAGGCCUUCGGGUUGUAAAGUACUUUCAGCGGGGAGGAAGGCGGUGAGGUUAAUAACCUCGCCGAUUGACGUUACCCGCAGAAGAAGCACCGGCUAACUCCGUGCCAGCCGCCGCAGUAA